UACGAAGGGGGCGAGCGUUGUUCGGAAUCACUGGGCGUAAAGGGCGUGUAGGCGGGAGGGAAAGUCAGAUGUGAAAUCCCCAGGCUCAACCUGGGAACUGCAUUUGAAACUCCCCUUCUUGAGUACCGGAGAGGAAAGUGGAAUUCCUGGUGUAGAGGUGAAAUUCGUAGAUAUCAGGAGGAACACCAGUGGCGAAGGCGGUUACCUGGACAGUUACUGACGCUCAGGCACGAAAGCAUGGGGAGCAAAAGGG
rnacentral:rRNA from 1 species